rnacentral:rRNA from 1 species
UACGUAGGUGGCAAGCGUUAUCCGGAUUUAUUGGGCGUAAAGGGAACGCAGGCGGUCUUUUAAGUCUGAAGUGAAAGCCUUCGGCUUAACCGGAGUAGUGCAUUGGAAACUGGGAGACUUGAGUGCAGAAGAGGAGAGUGGAACUCCAUGUGUAGCGGUGAAAUGCGUAGAUAUAUGGAAGAACACCAGUGGCGAAAGCGGCUCUCUGGUCUGUAACUGACGCUGAGGUUCGAAAGCGUGGGGAGCAAACAGG